AAGGCUCAAAAUAACUCAGUGGAGCUGAGCCAGCGAGCGGCCGCUGCCAUAACCUGGAAGGAAACGACAGGCACAGAAUAAACUUCCUGGGUUGGCCUGCGGCUGCAGCACGGAGGAGAGGCGGCAGCGGGAGCGAUGGGUUUGACCAGCAGCGUUCUAGCUGAUUCCCAAGCAUCAUUGUAAUGAUGUCAUCAAGAAUGAAUCUGUCUGCUGGCAUUCCCAGUAGUAAAGUCAAGUAUUCCAAGCUUUCCAGUACUGAUGAUGGAUAUAUUGACCUGCAGUUCAAGAAGAGCCCACCUAAAAUUCCCUACAAGGCAAUUGCACUUGCUGUCGUGCUCUUCAUGAUUGGGACCUUUCUCAUUAUCAUAGGAGCCCUCCUCUUGGCAGGAUACAUUAGCAAAGGUGGAACGGACCGUGCUAUUCCCGUGCUCAUCAUCGGAAUCCUUGUAUUUCUCCCAGGCUUCUAUCACCUGCGCAUUGCAUAUUACGCUUCCAAAGGCUACCGGGGCUAUUCCUAUGAUGAUAUCCCAGAUUUUGAUGACUGAAUGAUGUUCCUGACAAUGUUAUAAUUAGCAGGAUCUCCACCUGCAAAGCACCUCUGAGUCUCCGUGACUUCUGCCUUUCCACUGGGCAAUUUUCUCAUUGCUGUGCUCAGGAGCUGCAGCUUGUCAGUUUAGCAGAGCACCAUGUCCAUACCCUUUUGGAAACAAAGUGGAAAUAAGUGACUUUUUGGCCUGAUCCUGCCCAUACACAUUUGUCAAUAGAAGUUGCCAUUUACUGCUGCAGGUUUGAGCAAGUCACUCAUGAACUUGAUUUAAGAUGGCAAAACUCAGCUUGUCUCCUGCCUGGGCACUAUCUCUUCAAAUAACAUAGACUUCAUCUGAUGGGUAGCUGCAAGCAGAACGCCAGUGUGAAUGUGCACCAGCAAAGCAAAAACGUCAGGAGCUGUCAGCCACAGGCUCCUUGCAGUCCUUCUUUUGUUGCCACAACAUCUCAGGGUCAGGAGAUAAGGCUCCAGCAAUUCAGAAGUAUUGGCAGCUAAAACUUGGCAGAAACGAGAACAAGGAGGAUAAGUGCAUGCUGCUUUCCUGGCUUCCUCCUGCUCCCAUUCUUCCCAAUAUAUAAAGACUCUCCCUUGGCUAGUUGCUUGUGAAAAGAGGACUGGGAAUGAACUCUGCGACGUGGCUAAACCUAUCUCCUCCAUCCUCUGCUAAAUACAGGCCUUACACCAGAGUCAGCAAGUUAAACGUUAACUAUUUGGUGCAGCCCCCGACGUACCAGACAUAAAAGCAUCAGGAAAAUUAGCUUCUCACCUGAAGCUGUCCAGUUGAGUCAGUGUCACUGCGUGUUCCCUAUUACUUGCACUUCCCCACGUUCAGUGACGUUUCAAUGAAUAUUAUUUGGCCAAGAUGGUCUCAUCAGCCCUAUUGCCAGAAGCACAGGAGGAUUUCUUGGUUGUUUGUACCCCACUGGCAGCCAGAAUCUGGUUUCCAUUUACAAAAUAUUUUGCAUUUACAAAGGUGAAGGAAGGUCUCUCUCCAAAAGUUACCAGAGGCAAAACCAUCUCGAUGUGAACAGUAGGGAUCCAACAAUUUUGCAACUAUGCAGACUUUUUCUUCUCUCCCCCUGUUGAUUUAUUACGUGAAUUCUGGCAACUGCAACUUUGCAACCCAUGCUAUUUAUCUUUCUAUAUAGUAAGCACAGCAGUAUAUCUUCCUCUUGGAUCACUGACUGAAGCCUCAGUAAUGUGAGUACUUGGACCAAAGUAGUCUUAGAUCCUUGGACCAAAAGACCUAAGAGCACUCUGCACUAAUUAAACCUCAUAAAACUC